CGACCUGAGAUCARACGAAAUUACCCGCUGAAUUUAA
rnacentral:rRNA from 1 species